UGUUGCGACGAUUAUAUUGAGUCCGGGCUCCAAAACACUUGAUUACUUUUUGUUUUCCCGCUCGAUCUCCGUGGAUUACAAUCCCGAGCUCCCCUCUUUCUUCUCCAAUUUCUUCUUCUCCGUUCGAAAGCUACCUGCAAAUCCACUCAUGAGAGCUUCUUCCUUUGGCACACAUGGUUAAUCCAUCCUUUAGAUUCCAUUAUUAAUAGACUUAGUGAUUGUGGGCAAGCUGUAUUACGUGCGUUCGCGAGAGAGAGAGUGUUCGAGAGACAGAGAGAGGGGAGAGAAGUGCACUGCCAUCAUACCACUGUGCAAUUUGAGGAGAAUUGGGGAACCCACCGCGGAGAAGAUUGGACAAGAAGCACUUGACACAACCUGUUUUCCUCAAAAGGCUGUUUUUUGUAGAUGAACUUUCGGAUACUUCUGGCAUAAACAAAUGGACAUGUAAAUGUUCUUAUACAUAUCAAGAAAAUCAUAGUUAUGCUGUUAAAUCCAACUGUUCCACAUCCUGUAAUUGCAUUUCAGG